UAGCUGCAAGCAGCCUGCAGCAGGCUGGCCUUGCGCUCUCUACCUGACCGUCCUGGUGGAGCAAUAUUGUCCCGGUAAGGUGCGCACUGUCAUGGGUAUGAAGUAUGUUUUUAGCACAGACUUAAGUAUUUUUUUAUUCAUGUAAAUUGUUGCAGGAAGGAUCAGAGCUAUAUGUGGACGCAGUGGCUGCUCCCCUCCCCUCCUUGCGCUGUGUAGCACUUAGUGCAUUUGUAUUCCAGAUCACAUGCAGACAGUAACCUGUAACUCUCAGGAUUGAGAUGAUGAUGGUGAUUGCUGCAUGACCUAAUUGCUGUAAGACAAUUGCCAAGGAGGAGCUCUGACCUACUGCUGUUUUUGUCCCUACUUAAUUUACUUUGUAUAUUUUUUUGGGUUAUUUUGCUUUAUUAUACUACCUGUGAGUGAUUUUUUUUUUUUUUUUUUUUUUUUUUUUAAUAUAUAGUUGUUGUUGGUGCCAGUACAGGUGGGCUGCCAUAUUUCUGUAGGCGGUGGGUCACAUGGUGGAGGUCUUCCUUUUUGUCUGCUUCUCCCCUGCCUGUGUUUUGCAUGUCUAAUUUACCGCAUUUUGCAUGAUUAUUUUGAUUUUGUGUGAAACUUAUUGCGUGUCUUUUGUG